AAGACAGAGUCACCAGCUGAGUAAGGUGGGAAGGGAUGUGGUGGGCCCCUAUCAAGACGCUCAGAGACGAGUCAGCCAGGCAGUGAGGGACGGCUCAAGUCAACCCAGGUUGUAGGACUCUGUUAAAAGCCUCUCUCAUGAUUAACUAGAAAGAAUGGGACAGAGGCAGGGCCCGCCCCACACCCAUUAGCACCAAUCAGCUGUCUUCAACUUCCUGAAUAGCCUAUCAUAGCUCAUUUCUUGUCCUCCUGAAAAGGCGAUUGGUGCAAGAAAGUUAAAGACUUGGCGGCUGCAAGAAAAGGCAAAAGAAUUUCAUGCAGAUCUUUUCACCUGAGGUGGCCGGGAGGAAGGAACUGGAGCAUAGUGAGGGGGAAUAAGGCAGUUUCUAGGAGCAGACACCUAUCUACCGAACUGAGGUCACUUAGCCCCUGCGCGUGCUGUUCCCUGAUGUCCAAGGUCAGACCCCACCUCCAGCUGCUGGGGACUCUGGAAAGCAGAGAAGCUGACUGCUAAGAGGAGGCUAGUCCAUAGCUGUUGGUAUCAGGGCUCCUCACCCACCCCUUACCCCCAGCAGGAGCCUCGGAGGAGAAAAUGGCUUGUACCUCUUUGUGGCAUAAAUCUUUCACCUCACCUCUACCAUCCCAACACUGAGAGAAAUAGGAGGAAGGAGGAAGAAUUUGGUGGUCAGGGUUCCCUCCUUGUGAGAGUUAUACACAGCUGCAGUCAUGAAGAUGUGGGUGUCAGGUUACAAAAAAGAAGAAGAGGAA
rnacentral:lncRNA from 1 species